GGCGUAAAGGGCUCGCAGGCGGUUUCUUAAGUCUGAUGUGAAAGCCCCCGGCUCAACCGGGGAGGGUCAUUGGAAACUGGGAAACUUGAGUGCAGAAGAGGAGAGUGGAAUUCCACGUGUAGCGGUGAAAUGCGUAGAGAUGUGGAGGAACACCAGUGGCGAAGGCGACUCUCUGGUCUGUAACUGACGCUGAGGAGCGAAAGCGUGGGGAGCGAACAGGAUUAGAUACCCUGGUAGUCCACGCCGUAAACGAUGAGUGCUAAGUGUUAGGGGGUUUCCGCCCCUUAGUGCUGCAGCUAACGCAUUAAGCACUCCGCCUGGGGAGUACGGUCGCAAGACUGAAACUCAAAGGAAUUGACGGGGGCCCGCACAAGCGGUGGAGCAUGUGGUUUAAUUCGAAGCAACGCGAAGAACCUUACCAGGUCUUGACAUCCUCUGACAACCCUAGAGAUAGGGCUUUCCCUUCGGGGACAGAGUGACAGGUGGUGCAUGGUUGUCGUCAGCUCGUGUCGUGAGAUGUUGGGUUAAGUCCCGCAACGAGCG
rnacentral:rRNA from 1 species